rnacentral:lncRNA from 1 species
GGCGACUCAUGUUGAUGACCCUAUUUCUCCGAUUGAUGGAAGUGCUCCGGAGGUUGUUUUUGUCAAGGAACGGUUCGGAGCUCCCACUACUUCCACCACUCUUGCCAAGAUUGUGGCAAAGGAAGAAAUAGUGAAUCUUGCCAAACGGAAAGAUCAGUUGGAACUCCCAAAUAUAUCUUCGCUAAGUGUUGAAGAAAUCCAUCAACAAUAUUUGACCCGGUUAUCUGAGAACUGGGAUAUUGAAGCCGAUAUGAUUUGUGUUUUGAAGGAGAAAUAUGAG